AUCUUUCACACAAAUAUGUUUGGUUAUGAAACAUGACGGAAAAUUUGGUUGGAUAAUGUUGAAUGUGAGAAGUAAAUCUCUGUUCGAUCUUUUGCAACGGCAGUUGUCGUCGCCAAGGUGUAAAUGUGGUUGAGGAGGUUAUUUGUGUUUGUUUAGGGAUAAUUGCAAGUAGCAAAUGUGACGUUGUCUGCAAAUAUAAUUCAAGACUAGGUUUUUGAGCGAAAGGAACAAGCUGCGGACAAGACGGUACAAAUACUAGUGGAAAUGACGCCCGCUGUGGUGUUGUGAUAAGUACAAAAAUCUCAUGACGUAGUUUUGGUUCACUUAAUCAAUACAUCAGUGAAAGAGGAGUUCGAAGUUUGGUCUGAGAAAGAAACACGCUUGCAUAAUUGAAUGCUUUUUAUCGUUUACUUUAUUUUUAACAUCUUAAAAUUAAUCUUGACGUAAAUACAUUAUCUAAGACGUUAUUCAUAAAUGUAAUAUGUGACUAUAGUUAACCACAAUGACUACGAUUAAACGAAAGUAAAAUGUAAA